rnacentral:lncRNA from 1 species
GGACUUUAUAUGGUUGAGCCAGACUCUCAACUCUGUUACUGCUCAGAUCACUAUUACAACAUUCCCUUGACUUCCACUGGGUUUGAAAUGAAACACUAAGUUAGCAGUUCCUGGGCUAAUGUCAUGAUCACGUCUGAAGUGUAUCCAAAGUAACUUGUAACCAGGAAUAAGUUAAGUGCCAAUUGUUUUUAAAUGACUGACUUCUUUUUAAAUAAAGUAUAGGCAGGGUUAUUCCCAUAACUUAUUCUCAUUCUGCUAAUGAUUUCUUGAGUGGGAAAGAGGUAGAUGUUAUAAUACACUUACAACCCCCCCCCCCCACAUAUCCCAAAUCUACAGUAAAUAUCUCUUAUGGGUAUAUUAUAAACUAAUGGCUAUAAUUAUGAAUUACUGUAAUUACAAAGUUUGUGACAGUGGGUGUUGUUUAUCCAGUCUGUAUACUUGUAUGAGAAUAUUUUAUACCUGGGAGUGUGAUUUUUUUGUGUUAGUUAUGGAUCAGUGGACGGAAUUUGAUACCUUUCACUCUCGAGGGCCAAAAGCUAAUGCACUGUGAAUAGGGCAAAAGUUAAUGCACUGUGAAUACAGUCUCCAGAAAAGCCCAGGUAAAUAACAAUAAUUAGGCAGAUAAUGCAAAGUUUGAUAAUUAAAAGAACAGCAAUAAUAAACAGUAGUGUAAAAUAUAUUACAACCAGUUCAGGAAAUAAAUGGUAGCAGGUAUAACUCGAAGUGAUAUUUAUCAGUAUUAUCUCAUUAGGGAAAGCUAUAUAUAUAUAAUUAAGUAUAGCCUUAAUUCUAACAAAAAUGCACAUAUCAUUUAAUUACAUUUUUCUUUCAGUAAAUUUUAUUUAUUAUAGAAGUUGUAUUUUUCAUCAUAUAUUAUCAAAAUCACCUUGCAUCUGAUAUAUUUUGUACCUCUUCCCACCAUAAAAAUUUCAGAAGUCAUCUGGUAUUUAUCAUUGGCAAUAAAAUAAUUCUGCUAAUGACAUAUUAGGUGAUUAAUGCGUAUCUGAUUUCAUAAACUGGAAGUACAUUUCUAAGCUACAACAAAUUGGUGAGUAGGUAUCUUUCAAGGUAAUAAUGGUGAUGCUCUGUGCGAUUCAGUAACAAACAAGAAAUACGCACUAGGAAGAGAAAACUGAACAUUUUAAUGAGUUAGAGAAAAACAUGAGAAGCUACACUUUAAGAAGAAAAGCAUACACACAAACUCAGCAGUUAGACUGAAUAGAAAUAUGAAGAGAUAAAUGACUUCAUAUGCAUUCAACAGACAGAAAAGUUUGAGGCAAUGAGGCUAAACAAGAAAGAGGAAAAGUGAAUGAAACCUCCGUGACCACAUGCUACAAACUCAGAAGAAGAAUCUGGGAGUAUAAGAGGAUGAAGCUAUGAAACCUUGAACAAAGAGCUUAAUAGCAAUUAAAAUGAAGAGAAAAUUCUGGGAUGGAUAAACAAAUAGCACAUAUUACAAAGUGAAAUAUGCUGGUAUCAUGUAAGAGAUUACUUAGUCACUGCUUUCAAAUAAUUGGAUCAUAGACACAGAUUUCUGAGGUUUUAAGCUCAUUAGUUUGGCUCCCUGGUUUCUCCUAGGAUGCAAAGCUGCUUUUUCUUUCUUUCAUUAUUUCUUUUUUAAGUGAAAGUUGAUACCUUUUAUAUGUUACAGAGAAGAGGCAGAAAAAGCCACACUCCCACUAUGGUACAAUGCACUGAGGAUCAACUGAGGGAGGAUUAUACACAUGGCUGGAAACAGUUUAUUCAUCUGUUCUUUUGCUUUGUAAAUAACAAAUGGUGGUAUUCUGUAACAUCUUGUGUGAUUAGCAAAUGUGAGGUCAAAAUGAAUCUUUUAACAGUUGUUUAGAAAUAGUUUGAUUUUCCUUAAUUAGAUUGGCAUUUAUUUGGAAUUCAUUCUAAUAGUAAAUUUGCAAGCAUAUCUCUUCUAGUCGUCUCCCUUAGAAAUUAACAGUUGAGUACACAAAACAAGAAGAACAAAGAUUUAGACUUGAAUGAUUAAAAGCAUUAUAAUUUUUUUUUUUUACAUGCAAGUAUUCCUUAAAACUGUGCCUGAAAACUGGAAUAUCAUGAUAAUAUUAGAGAUCAUGGUAAAGGGACUAUAUUUUAACUGAACUUUCUUUCUCAUGAUAGAAUCUUUUGAAUAAUUCAGUUACCGGUACUACUUAAACUACUAGAUUUGUCUGAAACAAGACAGCUUAACAUCAGAUUCUAUGUGAUAUUGAAUUCUACUUCAUGAUGAAUUACAUUGUGAUUCUAUUUAAUUUCAUUCAAUUCAGUAAUCAUUUCUGAAGCACUUUUUCCUAUGAAAGAUCUCGAAUUAGCAUAUGAAAAUACAGAACACACAGUGUAAAGCUUUUGACAUUUUGAAAAGCAGUGUGAAAGAAAUAAAUAUUUGCACAAAUAUUUAGCAUUAAUAUUACAAAAUAGGAGUUCCCGUCGUGGCACAGUGGUUAACGAAUCCGACUAGGAGCAAUGAGGCUGUGGGUUCAAUCCCUGCCCUGGCUCAGUGGGUUAACGAUCCGGCAUUGCCGUGAGCUGUGGUGUAGGUUGCAGACGCGGCUCGGAUCCUGCGUUGCUGUGGCUCUGGCGUAGGCUGGCAGCUACAGCUCCGAUUAGACCCCUAGCCUGGGAAACUCCAUAUGCCGUGGGAGUGGCCCAAGAAAUGGCAAAAAGACAAAAAAACAAAACAAAAAAAACAAAAUGAACACACGUGUGGGGGGGGUGUAUAUGAAAGACAUGAGGGGUCUUUUGUGAAAAGUUAAAUUUUUAAUUAUGUAAGUGACAUAAAAUUAGCCUUUACUUGUAUUGACCAUUGCUGGAAUGUUUAGUAAAAUAUUCAUAGAGGUUUUUUUUGUUUGUUUGUUUUUGCUACUUUUAUAACUCUUAAACUUCUAUCAGAGUGCUUAUUUAUUCCUUCUUUAAAAGUUGGAUUAAAUGCACACAGAUGAAAGACAAAAUGCCCAGAAUAACCACUAAUUUACUUUUAAGGAAAUUAAAAAAUGAUGAUGUUUAUGGUGUAAAGAAUAGUGAUAAAAGAUAGGAGAGCACACUGAAAAUAUUUUUUGGGAAAUAUAAUUAUUAGUCUUAAUUAGCUUAAUGAGUCACAGUUGUUUAUAAGGAGAAAGAACAGAUCUUUGGAGGAGAAAUUAGAGGAAUUAGCUAGAAACUUUAGGUGGAAUGUAUUAUUUCAAACUUCUGAAAAAGUUAAAACCAAUUAAUUUUCUUUCUUUUGUCUUUACUUCCUUUCCUGAUAAAAUAACUAAGACAUUGCCUCCUAUUAGCUCCAAUAUCACUUUUCAAUGUAUUAGAUAUGCAUGCAUUAGACUUACUAUUUAUCACUUCCAUUCAAUAUUUGCACAUCAGGUUCACCUAAUUUUAAAUCAUAAUUACUACAGUAGUAAAAUUACCAGAUUUUAGAAAAACCAGUAAGUUCAUGGAGCCUAAAUCUGCUGAACUUAUUUUUUUCUUUAAAAUGAGGGAUAAGCUAGGUUUUCAACUGCACUGUUUACUUAGGACAUCUCCUAGAGAAGUUAGAGAUGGUGUUGUGAUUAUAUAUUGUUAAUUAUGGCUCACAUGAAUUCUCUCUGAUUUACCUUUGAAUUUUAUUUGUGUUGCAAGCUCGUUAUCAUAUUUUCCAAGGUGCCUUGACUACUUUUCUGAUAGCAUCAUAUUCUAGUACAUCUCACCACUUCCAACUUACUAAGCUAUUAUGCUAGCUUUCUCUUUGAUCUUUCAAAUGUGAAAUAAACUGCUUCAUUAUAAAUCACAGGGCUUUUAUGCUUGCAUUUAAAAAAUUCUUGAACACUCUUUCUUCAGGUCUUGCAAUGGCUACCUUAAUCUCAUUAGAAUAAACACUCAUGUCGCUUCCUCGAGAAGGCCUUUUCCCAAUUGUUCUUGUUAAAGUAUAUAUAUUUUUCUCAUUCCCGCCAGAAGCUGUAUCACAUUAUUCUGUUUUCUUCACAGGGUACGUAAUGUGUAAGGUUUAUACCUUCAGAAAUAAUGCAUUUUAAUAGUGAAGAACAGUUUUAAAUUAAAGGACUGAAGCUACAGCAGCCAAGUUUUGUACCUCAGUGAUCUAAAGGGUGAAGGGUAAAUCUUAGAAUUUGUGAAUUCAUAACUUAUAAAUGCCUUAUAAAUGCUAGGUUUGGGGAUGACACAUCUUAUCUUGAUCAUAACUGAAUAUAUGUAUUAAUGGGAGUUCUCAAAAGUGAUAAAGCAGUUUGAAUUAAUGGAAAAAUGUGGAAACUAGAGCUAGAAACACAUUUUAUAGCAAAUUUAGAAGUGAGGCGUAUUUAGUUUUGAACGUGGAUGACUGAGAAUUAAAGGCAUAGUUAUAGCGUCAUCACCACUAGCAGGGUAACUUUGAGGCAGUCUUUUUUACCUGUUCCAGCUUCAAUUUACUCAUCUGUAAAAUUGAGCCUCUUAUCUCAGCAAGAAUUGUGUAAGGUAUCUAAGGCAGACUUUGAGAAGUAGUCAAGCAUGGUUUUGAAAGUAUGUUCUUUAGAGCUAAAAUCUAGUGCUACUUACUUUCCAGCUAUAUGAUCCUGGGUUAGUUACUUGGUCUCUCUGAAUAUCAAGUAGACAUCCAGCUUUUCUAACACAAUUUAUUGCACAGUCCAACAUUUCCCAGUGACUUGAAAUGCUACCGUUUAUUAUACAUUCAUUUCUCAAAUAUACAAAAAUCUGUUUCUCGAUUCUUUAUUCUUCUUUGUUUUAUUUAUCUGUUUUGGAGCCAGUAUCAGAGUUUUCAAAUUUUCAAACAUUAAAUGGCUUUUUUUGUACCUUUGUUUUUCUGGUUUGAUGAUUAUAUAAAUCCCUCAAAUUUUCUCUCUAUACAAUUACCAAGACUCCAUGAAUUUAUGAUUUUGUUUGUAAUUGCAUUAAAUGUACAGAUUAACAGGAGGAUAACUGAUAUGUUUAUAAUAUUGUCAUUAAAAGUUUGAUGUGUCAUUUAUUUAGAUCUUCUAUUGAGUUGAUAGUAUAGAUUUUUAUGUAAGUCUUUCUCAUUUUUCAUUAGGUUUACUGCUGAGGAUUUUAUGGUUUUCCCUAUAUUAUUAUGAUUUUUUUUCCUCCCUUUCUUUAGGACUGGAAACCUAUUGAUUUUUGUAUAUUAUUUCUGGCAAACAGACUGAACUGUUAUAUUAGUUCUAAUAGUUUUCCAGUUAAUGUUUAGGGUCUUUCUGUGUAGAUAAUCAUAAUAUCUGUAAAUAAUGAUUUUUUCUUCAUAUCCAAUAUUUAUUUAUAUUUAUUUUGGGAGAUAAUUGAAUUUCCUGUAUUAUGUAUGACAGUGGGGUGUCAGCACCAUGCGGGACUGUGGUGAGCAUUGGUAACAAUCAGUAUAAAAUAUUUGAUAUACUAUAGGAAUUCGGUAAAUGUAACUGUUCAGUAUUUUUUCAGUACUGUCCAUGACUUAUAAAGUUACUAAUUAUACUAAAUUCAAAAAAAUCAAUUUGAAUAGUUUACUUUCAAAUAUAUGCUAUUUCCAGGAGCUUGACAAUUGCAUUCUAUAAGAAAAUUAUUGCGUAUUUCUCUCAUAAUUAUUGUUGUUUAAAUGUGCUUUAAAAUGUGGAAUUCCCAUUAUGGUGCAGUGGAAAUGAAUCCAGCUAGUAUCCAUGAGAAUGCAGGUUCAGUCUCUGGCCUUGCUCAGUGUGUUGGGGAUCUGGCGUUGCCGUGAACUGUGGUGUAGGUCACAGACAUGGCGUGGAUCCCAUGUUGCUCUGGCCUAGGCUGUCAGCUGAAGCUCCAGUUCAACCCCUAGCCUGGGAAUUUCCAUAUGCCAUGGGUGGGGUGCAGAUUUAAAAAAUAAUUAAUUAAUUAAUUAAAAGAAAUUACAUUAAAAAAUAAAAAUGUGGCACAAGUGACUGAAACAGUUAUAGCAUGAUUAAUAACAAAGUCUUAGGUCUUAAUUAAGUCUUUACUGACCUAUGGUUACGCCAACCCUUUUUUUUUUAAACAGGAAAGAAGUGUUCAGUAAAAAUACAUAAAAGUUUAGCAAACCACUGUGUUACCAUUCUCUCCUAAAGAAAAUUACAUGGAAUGGAAGGCAGGAUUUUCUGUUCUUCAUAUAAUAGAGGUUCAGGCUGAACAAUUUCUACUGGACUGCAUCAUUACUUAUGAAAUAUCUACUAAUAGGGAAAUAUUUAAAUAAAUUUGAUAUCUUACCUCAAUGUAAUAUUAUAUAGCCAUUAACAUAGAAUUUGUGAAAAACUGCACAUAAGUAAAGAAAAUGUGAAUGAUAAGU